GACGAACGCUGGCGGCGUGCUUAACACAUGCAAGUCGAGCGGUAAGGCCCUUUCGGGGGUACACGAGCGGCGAACGGGUGAGUAACACCUGGGUGACCUGCCCUCAGCUCUGGGAUAAGCCUGGGAAACCGGGUCUAAUACUGGAUAUGACUCCAUGACGCAUGUUGUGGGGUGGAAAGCCUUGUGCGGCUGAGGAUGGGCCCGCGGCCUAUCAGCUUGUUGGGGGGUGAUGGCCUACCAAGGCGACGACGGGUAGCCGGCCUGAGAGGGCGACCGGCCACACUGGGACUGAGACACGGCCCAGACUCCUACGGGAGGCAGCAGUGGGGAAUCUUGCGCAAUGGGCGAAAGCCUGACGCAGCGACGCCGCGUGA
rnacentral:rRNA from 1 species